UACGUAGGGUGCAAACGUUGCUCGGAAUUAUUGGGCGUAAAGCGCAUGUAGGCGGCACGGUAAGUCGACUGUGAAAGCCCUUGGCUCAACCAAGGAAGUGCAGUCGAAACUGCCGAGCUCGAGUUCUGAAGAGGGUCGCGGAAUGGCCAGUGUAGAGGUGAAAUUCGUAGAUAUUGGCUAGAACACCAGUGGCGAAGGCGGCGACCUGGGAAGAUACUGACGCUGAGAUGCGAAAGCGUGGGGAGCAAACAGG
rnacentral:rRNA from 1 species